rnacentral:rRNA from 1 species
GACGUAGGGCGCGAGCGUUGUCCGGAUUUAUUGGGCGUAAAGAGCUCGUAGGCGGCUUGUCGCGUCGACUGUGAAAUCCCGCGGCUCAACCGCGGGUCUGCAGUCGAUACGGGCAGGCUAGAGUUCGGUAGGGGAGACUGGAAUUCCUGGUGUAGCGGUGAAAUGCGCAGAUAUCAGGAGGAACACCGAUGGCGAAGGCAGGUCUCUGGGCCGAUACUGACGCUGAGGAGCGAAAGCGUUGGGGAGCGAACAGG